ACAACUGUAUUUUCAUUAACAUUAACAAAGAUUAGUAAAUACAGUAACGCAUGUACUGCUCAUAGUUCAUGUUAGUUAAUGCAUUAACUAAUGUUUAACUCUCAUAUGGUCUUUGGGGUCUUUUUGACCCGCAAAUGAUGUUUGCUCAAAUGAAAAAAAAAAAAAAAGUUCUCUUUGUCCAAAUGUUGUUACGUCCAGAGACGAAGUCUUCAUCGGAUUUAUGUUUUCUUUAAUGUAUGUUCUUUUUUUUUCUUUCCUUGUUUUUUCUUGCUCCUCCUACUCAAUCUGCCUGGCAGGUAGCUGAUUGAGAAAAUGUUCCCCCAAGAGCUUUCUCCAGAGUGUUGUCUUUGUCCUGCCUAACUGGUUGCUGCUUGAUAUCCUACUUUGGUAUUGUAGUUUUUUUUUUUUUUUGUAUUUGCUCAUUAUGAUAUUCUCCAACACUUACUUUUGCCAUUUAAGUUAAAGUGAUUCAUAUUGUCCUUCACCCUCAUCUGUUUGUUAUAUUAUUUGGCUUAUAGCUGCUACUAUUAUCAUCUAGUUUAGCAGCUACUUAAAUAUCUGUUUAUUUGUGUUUUGCUUAUUUUUGUUUUACUUGGAGGCUGUAGGGAGCUGGGUGGCAUUUUUCUUUUUUGUUUAACCCUAUUUUCUCCUAUUUUGGGGCCAGGAAGGGAGUUAAGGUACAACUCUGUUAUUUUCUUUUGUUUUCUUUGUUAGUUUAGUUAGAGGUUCUAAUGACUUUAGUUAGUUUGCAUGUCGUUGUUUAUUAUUUUGGCUUUGUCCUCUCCUGAAGCUAUUGCUUCCUUUUUCUUUUCUUUGUAUUUUAUUACAGUACCUUUUUCUUGUAUUUGUUCCACGAGCUGUGAAAUAAAAUCUUUUUUGUGAUAAUUUGUUGCUUGUGGUGCUAUGGCAGGACUCGGAUGAACGCUCUUUAAAAUAUUUCACUUUUGUUGCGUCCACAUACACCCCUAGACUUAUGUGGGAUGUAACAAUGGCAUGAGACUUUGUACGGUGGUUAACACUUUUAAGAUCAGAUGUACACACACACAAAAAAAAAUGUUUUUAUGUUGGUGUAAAAAAAAAAGUUACACAACAAAAUGUAAUUUUGGAACAAUAUAACAGGACUCAACACUAAGGAUUUUUUCUACUGGCCCAGUUGGGCCAGUGGUUCAAAUUUUUACUUGCCCCACAACAAAAAAUUAAUAAAGUAACAGAAAAGAAAAUGGGUCUAUAAAAUAAGCCAAGUUAUUGUUUUCGUUGUUUUUGAUACAUGUAACCUUAAUAAAUAAGGUUAUGAAACCAAAAGAUACUAGAUUAACUUACUUAAAUUUUAAAUAUUGUUAGAUAAAUAGAAAAUCAUAAAAUAUUAAUAAAUAAUCAAAUUACGAGUAAUAGCACAAAUGAAUACAGCAGAACAAAUAAAUAAAUGAAAUAAACAAUGCUUUUCAAGUUUUUCAUGUAGGUUUAAACAGAUUUUCAAGUACAGUAAUUGUAAUAUCUAUAACUAUAUAACUAUAGAUUUAUAACUAUAGAUUAAACUUUAUUAAUCAGUCGAUAGCAGUUACAGAUGCAUAAAUGUUUUAAAAUGUUGAAAAUGUAAAACGUUAAAUACUGUCAUUUCAAAUUAUUUUAAAAAUGAAGACACUUAAAAUCUGAAAUUAAACCCGCCAGUAAGUGGCAGCAAGUCCCUGCUAAUGAGCGACUCAUUGAGAUUCAACCGGAUUCAACCGAUUCAUUCAGGCGGCUGAUUCAUUCAGGAAGUGUUGCUCAGAGACGCAAAACAAUUCUGUGGACUUUGUUUGGAACUGUUUUCGUUGGCGAAAUAGAGUGAAACAGGCGAUUUAGUGUCUAAAAUGUAAGUCACUUGAUAUUAAGUUCUCAUUAAACUGUAGGCUACUCUGUAUAAAAUCAAUAUCACAUUUAAUAGACUAAAUAGAUUAAUAGACUAAAUCAGGCGCAGUGAAAGUGUACACACUAAAUAGUCCUUACUGUCGAGCCCUGUAUAAUAUAUAUUUUUUAAAAACAAAUGUAAUUUUACUCUAUUAAUGUUUUAUAAGGGUUCAAGAAUAGUUGCUGUUAUGUUUUGCUCUUAAUUGAAAAAUGAAAGAAAAAUGAUUAUACAGGAAAUCAAAAUAAAAUAUUCCUAAUAAAUCCUAUGACAUCUUGCCAGACGUUUAGGGACAAUACCAAACACAAAACAACUAGUUUUGUCAGAGUGGUCACAAAAAGUACAACUGGAGCAAAUAUCAUUUUUGAACUUAAGUAGUUGUUUGCAGGGUAGCACUUAUGAAUUAUUUUAAAAGAAAUCUAUUUUACUUUAUUGGUUAAAAAAAAGAAAUGUGGAAGCAUCCACACUUUUUCCAAAAUAUAUGAUCUACUCUGCAUUACUCCAAUACAGAAACGUGUCUACGGCUGCAUCCGAAACCGCAUACUUCUCUACUAUAUAGUAGGGGAAAAGCAGUAGGCGAGCGAAAAAGUAUGUCCGAAACCGAAGUAUUCAUAAAAGAGUAGGCGCAAACUACCUGGGUGAUGUCUAAUUCUCGCGAGGUUCGGACGUGCGUCUACUUAAAGUGCGUCCGAAUAUGCCUACUUACCUACUAUAUAGUAGGGGAAAAUAGUACAUGAAAGAACUAGUAUGUCCGAAAUCCUCAGUAAUCAUAAAUGAGUAGUCGAGAAGUUCCCGGAUGGCCUACUGCUCCUGCCCAGAUUCUGAAGUGUUCAUCCGAUGGACACUUUUCUAUCCCAGGAGGCCACGGGAGAGGUACGUCACACUCGAACACGGAGGAGAAAAGCGGCGCGGAUGUUUUCAAAUGGACAGAUGAUCACGUGUGUUUAUCCAGUGGAGAGAGGCUGAUGAACGAAUGAUGGCGUCAAUGGCUUUGACACUUCUGAUUCUUGAUGUCGGUAUGUUUGCUGCAGAGGUAGUGGAGCAGCACCUGCAAGGCAAGAUGAUGGCGGCAUUUGUGGGGGAAAGAAACCUGAAUAAUGACUGAAUUUAUAUGUUUGGGUGAACUAACCCUUUAAGUCCCCAAAUAGAAACUGUAUGUAUGCAUUUAUAUUAUGGUAGUACCUUGAAAAAGUAAACUUUAAGAAAUAAUCAGCUUUAUUGAGUGUUUGUGCCCAAGACACUAACAAAAAAGAUUUACAAAAAUCACAUUUACAUUUAUUUACAGGUUUGCUUUUGGCAGAUGCUUUUAUCAAAAGUGACAUACAGUGCUCUUAUUACAGGGAUGAUCCCCAUUGAGUAACCUGGAGUAAAGUGUCUUGAUUAAAGGUCCCGUUUUUCGUGGUUUUUUGAAGCUUUGAUUGUGUUUAUAGUGUGCAAUAUAACAUGUGUUCAUGUUUCACGUGUAAAAAAACACAGUAUUUUUCACAUAAUUUACUUAUCUGUAU